AUUGAACGCUGGCGGCAGGCCUAACACAUGCAAGUCGAACGAGCGGCGGACGGGUGAGUAAUGUCUGGGAAACUGCCCGAUGGAGGGGGAUAACUACUGGAAACGGUGGCUAAUACCGCAUACCAUCGGAUGUGCCCAGAUGGGAUUAGCUAGUAGGUGGGGUAAAGGCUUACCUAGGCGACGAUCCCUAGCUGGUCUGAGAGGAUGACCAGCCACACUGGGAAUGAGACACGGUACAGACUCCUACGGGAGGCAGCAGUGGGGAAUAUUGCACAAUGGGCGAAAGCCUGAUCCCGCCAUGCCGCGUGUGUGAAGAAGGUCUUCGGUUUGUAAAGUACUUUAAGUUGGGAGGCGUUACCUACAGAAGAAGCACCGGCUAACUUCGUGCCAGCAGCCGCGGUAAUAC
rnacentral:rRNA from 1 species